GACCUCGGAUCAGGUAGGGAUACCCGCUGAACUUAAGCAUAUCAAUAAGCGGAGGAAAAGAAACCAACAGGGAUUGCCUCAGUAACGGCGAGUGAAGCGGCAACAGCUCAAAUUUGAAAUCUGGCCUUCGGGUCCGAGUUGUAAUUUGCAGAGGAUGCUUCGAGCAUGGUCUAGUCUAAGUUCCUUGGAAUAGGACGUCAUAGAGAGUGAGAAUCCCGUAUGCGACUGGGUGCCUAAGCUCAUGUGAAGCUCCUUCGACGAGUCGAGUUGUUUGGGAAUGCAGCUCAAAAUGGGUGGUAAAUUUCAUCUAAAGCUAAAUAUUGGCCAGAGACCGAUAGCGCACAAGUAGAGUGAUCGAAAGAUGAAAAGCACUUUGGAAAGAGAGUUAAAUAGCACGUGAAAUUGUUGAAAGGGAAGCGC
rnacentral:rRNA from 1 species